rnacentral:rRNA from 1 species
UACAGAGGGGGCAAGCGUUAUUCGGAAUUAUUGGGCGUAAAGGGCGCGUAGGCGGCCUGGCAAGUGGAAGGUGAAAUCCCUCGGCUUAACCGAGGAACUGCCCUCCAAACUGCUUGGCUUGAGUCCGGGAGAGGUGAGUGGAAUUCCCAGUGUAGCGGUGAAAUGCGUAGAUAUUGGGAAGAACACCGGUGGCGAAGGCGGCGCUCUGGACCGAGACUGACGCUGAGGCGCGAAAGCGUGGGGAGCAAACAGG